rnacentral:rRNA from 1 species
AGUGAACGCUGGCGGUAGGCCUAACACAUGCAAGUCGAACGGCAGCACAGUAAGAGCUUGCUCUUACGGGUGGCGAGUGGCGGACGGGUGAGGAAUACAUCGGAAUCUACUUUUUCGUGGGGGAUAACGUAGGGAAACUUACGCUAAUACCGCAUACGACCUACGGGUGAAAGCAGGGGAUCUUCGGACCUUGCGCGAUUGAAUGAGCCGAUGUCGGAUUAGCUAGUUGGCGGGGUAAAGGCCCACCAAGGCGACGAUCCGUAGCUGGUCUGAGAGGAUGAUCCGCCACACUGGAACUGAGACACGGUCCAGACUCCUACGGGAGGCAGCAGUGGGGAAUAUUGGACAAUGGGCGCAAGCCUGAUCCAGCCAUACCGCGUGGGUGAAGAAGGCCUUCGGGUUGUAAAGCCCUUUUGUUGGGAAAGAAAAGCAGCAGGUUAAUACCCCGCUGUUCUGACGGUACCCAAAGAAUAAGCUCCGGCUAACUUCGUG